CGAGGUGUAGCGCAGCUGGUAGCGCGCCUGCUUUGGGAGCAGGAUGUCGCAGGUUCAAGUCCUGUCACCUCGACCA
rnacentral:tRNA from 3 species